ensembl:rRNA 5S_rRNA 5S ribosomal RNA
GUCUACAGCCGUACCACCCUGAACGUGCCCGAUCUCGUCUGAUCUCGGAAGCUAAGCAUGGUCAGGCCUGCUUAGUGCUUGAGUGGGAGACCACCUGGGAAUACUGGGUGCUGUAGGCU